UACGAAGGGGGCUAGCGUUGCUCGGAAUCACUGGGCGUAAAGCGCACGUAGGCGGAUUGCUAAGUCAGGGGUGAAAUCCUGGAGCUCAACUCCAGAACUGCCUUUGAUACUGCCGUGCUUGAGGACUGGAGAGGAGACUGGAAUUUACGGUGUAGCGGUGAAAGGCGUAGAUAUCGUAAGGAAGACCAGUGGCGAAGGCGGGUCUCUGGACAGUUCCUGACGCUGAGGCACGAAGGUCAGGGGAGCAAACGGG
rnacentral:rRNA from 1 species